rnacentral:rRNA from 1 species
UACGGGAGGCAGCAGUGGGGAUAUUGCACAAUGGAGGAAACUCUGAUCCAGCAAUGCCGCGUGAGUGAAGAAGGCCCUAGGGUUGUAAAGCUCUUUCACGGUGAAGAUAAUGACGGUACCCGAAAAGAAGCCCCGGCUAACUUCGUGCCAGCAGCCGCGGUA